rnacentral:rRNA from 1 species
GACUAGCACACCACCCUGAACAAGCCUGAUCCCGUCUGAUCUCGGAAGCUAAGCAGGGUCGAGCCUGGUUAGUACUUGGAUGGGAGAGACCAGGUGCUUUAGGCA